GCGGGAGUAGCUCAGUGGUAGAGUCCUAGCUUCCCAAGCUAGUUGUCGCGGGUUCAAAUCCCGUCUCCCGCUCCA
rnacentral:tRNA from 2 species